rnacentral:rRNA from 1 species
UACGUAGGUGACCAGCGUUGUCCGGAUUUACUGGGCGUAAAGAGCGCGCAGGCGGUCGUUCAAGUCGAGUGUGAAAGCCCCCGGCUCAACUGGGGAGGGUCACUUGAUACUGAUCGACUCGAAGGCAGGAGAGGGAAGCGGAAUUCCCGGUGUAGUGGUGAAAUGCGUAGAUAGUACGGGAGGAACACCAGUGGCGAAGGCGGCUUCCUGGCCUGUUCUUGACGCUGAGGCGCGAAAGCUAGGGGAGCAAACGGG